UCCAAUGUCUUUGUAGAAAGCGAGGGCCAGUACAAACACAUCAGUGUCAGGACUUCUGAUAAUAAUAUUCCUGCUGUAAUCAGCAGCAUGAGCACAGUGUAGCAGUAGUCUGGUGUCCGCUUCUUCCUGCGUCGUGAACAGCUCUGGCAUUGGCAGGGCUUCCAAAUCAGUUGUAUCUGGGUUUUUUUUUUAGAGCAUGGCACUCUCCUCCAUGUGCAACAAUCAGAGUCAGGUCCUCAAUCAUGUGCCCUCCAGAUGUACACCAUCUAUCAAAGAAAAAUUGUAGGAGAUUUUCCUUAUUUUCCCCACAUGCCAAGAACUUUGCACAUUGCUUUGGUGUCCUUUGGUCUUCAGAAUAUAUUUUGGUAAUUUGACAACCCUUCACUACACGUCUGUCUCGUUCUGCAUUCUUGAUGCUCAUGACUUUGUAGGUGUCUGGAACAAAAUGGAUUACUUUGGACUUGCUAGCUUUGGCCACACUGACAAUCAGCCUGAGAGCACCGUCAGCAAACAUCCCGAAAGUCGGUUGGGGUUUCAUCACUUGUACAAGUGCCAUAGCAUCCCACACCCACGUGGAGCCCUCAUGAAUGUUGUCCACUGUUGCUGGUGGGUGUACAACAGCUUCCAGGAAGUGCAGCAGCUUUGCUUUGUCCGUUUUCAUCAGAGAGCCAUCAAAAUGAGCUAGUGCGGCAGGUAAGGGCCCUAAACUAUGUACAAGCAUCUCACUCAUGUCAAUUUACAAUUUACAACUACAAUUAAUCUGGCAAAAAGAUCACAGUCUGCUUUUAGGGAUAUCUCUCUACCUUUUGCUUUUGUUACUGUUGUAGUUGCAGUGUCUUUGAAGGUCUUGAGUUUCAUUUUCUUUAUGAGCUGAUAAAUGCCUACCUCAUUACUUUGUAGCCUCUUUUCAUAGAAUUCUAUUAAGGCUUUCUCUCCUCUCUCUUUUGCUUCAUUCAAAUCAUUAAAAAUCGCCUCUGAUGCAACAUGUCCAGAUGUUAUAUGGUAAAGGACCUCUUGAUCGAUGGAAGGAUCAAAUGGAUUUAUCAUGUUCUGAAUGGUGGAUAUGAUGUUCUUUACAUCCCUCUCAUCACGUUCUCUGCGUGUGUCAUCAAGUUCAGCUCGUUGUUUUGUUGUGGGGCUGUGCCCGGCCAUGCCUUUGCACUCCAUACUGAUAGCUGCACGUUCAUGAUGUGUGAGUGUCCAUCUAUGAACUGCACCGUUGUUAAGUGAAAACCCAGUCAGUCCACCUUUAGUUUUAGAGUCACGGUUUGCUGUUUGUUCAAUGACUUGAUCACAUGCUGUGUAUGCAAAGCCAUAUGUUUGCUGUCUUUGGGCAACAAAAUCCCCUGAUUGGAGUUGGUAGUUUAUGUUUGGAUGAGUGUACCCUAAACUGACCAUUUCCAUCCAGUAUGUUGACAGGUAGCGGGCAUAGUUGAUCCUGUCAUAACAGAAGAACCAUGGCAUAAUGGAACGCACACUUGAUAGGUGGAGACUCCAGUUUGCCUCUCGUGUUCCUCUGAUGAAGAGGAGAAGAUCUUCAACCAUUGAAAUGUAUGUGCACCAAAAGUGGAAUGUCUUGUUGGUGGUGUUGUCUUUAAUGAAAUCUUCAUACCCUUUCAUUAGCUUUUGAAAGUUCUCAGACAUUACCAGAUCAUCAAAUUCUUCACCAGGGAAAGCUGUCUGCAGAUCAACAGCAGUCUUGACAACAGCUUCACGUCCAUUUUCUGGCAGAAUGUCCAGGUAUGCCUGCCAGCGAAGUCUCUGUAGGGCUUCACACAUUAAUUUGUGUGCACGCAUGCUUCGAUUGUAUUGAUGUCCAGAUAUGACUCCCUCCACAGAUCCUGCAGCAACAACUUCAGCUUCUAUCAUGACAUCCUGAAAUCCUGCGUCUCCAAAUCGCUUCCCAAUACAGGCCAGGCAUAGAGCUGGGAGUAGAUGAGACGCUCUCCUUGGUUGUUCGGGGCCAUCAUCCAAUGCAGAGCGCAGAAUCCGGACCUUGGAGACAUUCUCAUCAUUGACGGGCAGUGGUUCAGCUACAUCUGUCAGUGGUUGGGCUUCACCUACAUAACAGAACAGACAUGGACAGGACAACAUCAUAUCUCAACAACCACAGAUGACCCAUCUUGAUCUAUCGACCCCACCAACAGAACCUGGCCAAGAAAGCCCCAAAACUUCUGCACUUCCUCCCACAUGCUGCUACUGUUUUUUUUUUAAAUUUAUUUUCUAUUAUUCUUAAAUUUGCUAUGAACCUUUGACCCCACACUCAUAUUGCACGGCCUUUUGCUACUUGUCCCCUUGUUUAUUUAUAAUAUGUCUAGUAAUGUCAUCCACUUGCACUGAUACACUAUAUUAAUACAGUGUACAUGCUGUCUGCAAUGUUAAUAAAUAACUGCUUCCCUA